AGUGAACGCUGGCGGCAGGCCUAACACAUGCAAGUCGAGCGGCAGCGCGUCCGACCACCCUCGGGUGGUCGGAUGGCGGCGAGCGGCGGACGGGUGAGGAAUGCAUCGGAAUCUGCCUCGUUGUGGGGGAUAACGUAGGGAAACUUACGCUAAUACCGCAUACGACCUACGGGUGAAAGUGGGGGACCUUCGGGCCUCACGCGAUGAGAUGAGCCGAUGCCGGAUUAGCUAGUUGGCGGGGUAAAGGCCCACCAAGGCGACGAUCCGUAGCUGGUCUGAGAGGAUGAUCAGCCACACUGGAACUGAGACACGGUCCAGACUCCUACGGGAGGCAGCAGUAGGGAAUAUUGGACAAUGGGGGCGAACCCUGAUCCAGCCAUGCCGCGUGAGUGAAGAAGGCCCUCGGGUUGUAAAGCUCUUUUGUCCGGAAAGAAAGCAAUCGGUUAAUACCCGGUUGUCCUGACGGUACCGGAAGAAUAAGCACCGGCUAACUUCGUGCCAGC
rnacentral:rRNA from 1 species